UACCUGGUUGAUCCUGCCAGUAGUCAUAUGCUUGUCUCAAAGAUUAAGCCAUGCAUGUGUAAGCACACACUGUUUUAAAAGUGAAGCCGCGAAUGGCUCAUUACAACAGCCACAGUUUAUUAGAACUUACAAUCAUGGAUAACUGUGGUAAUUCUAGAGCUAAUACACGCACAAAAACUUCAACUGAAUUGGUUGAAGUGCUUUUAUUAGAACAAAAACCGAACGGCGUUUGGCGAAUGUUGAACGUCGAAACUGUUUGGUGAAUCUGAAUAACUAUUUCUGAUCGCAUGGUCUAGCACCGGCGACAUCACUUUCAAGUGUCUGCCUUAUCAACCUUCGAUGGUAGUCUAUGCGACUACCAUGGUGAUAACGGGUAACGGAGAAUCAGGGUUCGACUCCGGAGAGGGAGCCUGAGAAACGGCUACCACAUCCAAGGAAGGCAGCAGGCGCGCAAAUUACCCACUCCCAGCUUGGGGAGGUAGUGACGAAAAAUAACGAGACGAUUCUCGUUUGAGAAACGUUAUCGAAAUGAGUACGCUUUACACACGCUAACGAGUAGCAAUUGGAGGGCAAGUCUGGUGCCAGCAGCCGCGGUAAUUCCAGCUCCAAUAGCGUAUAUUAAAGUUGCUGCGGUUAAAACGCUCGUAGUUGAAUUGUGGUCUUAGACAACAGUCCCCCUACAUAGGUGUGGCACGGUUGCUCGAGAUCUUCAUUCGUGGUUGCUGUUGUUGCUCUUCAUUGAGUGUCAAUGGUGCCUCGAGAUUUUACUUUGAAAAAAUUAGAGUGCUCAAAGCAGGUUGUGAUGCCUGAAUAAUGGUGCAUGGAAUAAUAGAAUACGAUCUCGGUUCUAUUUUGUUGGUUUUCGAACCGGAGAUAAUGAUUGAAAGGAACAGACGGGGGCAUUCGUAUUGCUGCGUUAGAGGUGAAAUUCUUGGAUCGCAGCAAGAUGAACAAUUGCGAAAGCAUUUGCCAAGAAUGUUUUCAUUAAUCAAGAACGAAAGUUAGAGGUUCGAAGGCGAUCAGAUACCGCCCUAGUUCUAACGGUAAACUAUGCCAACCAGCGAUUCGCCGAAGUUCAUUUAAGACUCGGCGAGCAGCUUCCGGGAAACCAAAGUGUUUCGGUUCCGGGGGAAGUAUGGUUGCAAAGCUGAAACUUAAAGGAAUUGACGGAAGGGCACCACCAGGAGUGGAGCCUGCGGCUUAAUUUGACUCAACACGGGAAAACUCACCCGGCCCGGACACUGGAAGGAUUGACAGAUUGACAGCUCUUUCUUGAUUCAGUGGGUAGUGGUGCAUGGCCGUUCUUAGUUGGUGGAGCGAUUUGUCUGGUUAAUUCCGAUAACGAACGAGACUCUACCCUAUUAAAUAGUGACAGUAUUGUAUUUUUUGUGCUGAUCACUUCUUAGAGGGACUGGCAAAUUGAAAGCUGCACGAAAAAGAGCAAUAACAGGUCUGUGAUGCCCUUCGAUGUCCGGGGCUGCACGCGCGCUACAAUGAAAGCGUCAACGUGAGUUACGUCCUUACCUGAAAAGGUUUGGCAAUCGAAUGAAACGUUUUCUUGAAUGGAAUAGGGAAUUGCAAUUGUUUCCCUUGAACGAGGAAUUCCCAGUAAGCGUGAGUCAUUAGCUCGCGUUGAUUACGUCCCUGCCCUUUGUACACACCGCCCGUCGCUACUACCGAUUGGAUGAUUUAGUGAGGUGUUUUGACUGGCGCCAGUAGUCGGAUGUAUUCGGCUUCGCGCCGGGAAAUUUCCCAAACCAAAUCAUCUAGAGGAAGUAAAAGUCGUAACAAGGUUUCCGUAGGUGAACCUGCGGAAGGAUCAUUA
rfam:Trichinella britovi scaffold154s, whole genome shotgun sequence.